rnacentral:rRNA from 1 species
UAACGCGUAAACAACCUGCCCUUCGGAUGGGGAUAACAGCCGGAAACGGCUGCUAAUACCGAAUACGAUCUUUUCGUCGCAUGACGGAAAGAAGAAAGGAUGGCCUCUAUACAAAGCUAUCGCCGAAGGAGGGGUUUGCGUCUGAUUAGCUGGUUGGAGGGGUAACGGCCCAACAAGGCGAUGAUCAGUAGCCGGUCUGAGAGGAUGAACGGCCACAUUGGGACUGAGACACGGCCCAGACUCCUACGGGAGGCAGCAGGC